CAAAGACUGCUAGUGUUUGUCUCUCCGAGGUUUCACGGCUUCACCAAAAACUCUCAAAGUUUGACCUCAAAUCAGGUAGGAAUACCCGCUGAACUUAAGCAUAUCAAUAAGCGGAGGAAAAGAAACCAACCGGGAUUGCCUCAGUAACGGCGAGUGAAGCGGCAAAAGCUCAAAUUUGAAAUCUGGCGUCUUCGGCGUCCGAGUUGUAAUUUGAAGAAGGCUACUUUGGGUCUGGUCCUUAUCUAUGUUCCUUGGAACAGGACGUCAUAGAGGGUGAGAAUCCCGUGUGAUGAGGAUCCCAGUCCUAUGUAAAGUGCUUUCGACGAGUCGAGUUGUUUGGGAAUGCAGCUCUAAGUGGGUGGUAAAUUCCAUCUAAAGCUAAAUAUUGGCGAGAGACCGAUAGCGAACAAGUACAGUGAUGGAAAGAUGAAAAGAACUUUGAAAAGAGAGUGAAAAAGUACGUGAAAUUGUUGAAAGGGAAGGGCAUUUGAUCAGACAUGGCGUUUGCUUCGGCUUUCGCUGGGCCAGCAUCAGUUUUGGCGGUUGGAUAAAUCCUCGGGAAUGUGGCUCUACUUGUAGAGUGUUAUAGCCCGUGGGAAUACAGCCAGCUGGGACUGAGGACUGCGACUUUUAGUCAAGGAUGCUGGCGUAAUGGUUAUAUGCCGCCCGUCUUGAAACACGGACCAAGGAGUCUAACGUCUAUGCGAGUGUUUGGGUGUAAAA
rnacentral:rRNA from 1 species